UACGUAGGUGGCAAGCGUUGCCCGGAAUUACUGGGCGUAAAGGGCGCGUAGGCGGCCAUCUAAGUCAGACGUGAAAUCCCCCGGCUUAACCUGGGAACUGCGUCUGAUACUGGACGGCUUGAGUAUGGGAGAGGGAUGUAGAAUUCCAGGUGUAGAGGUGAAAUUCGUAGAUAUUCGCAAGAACACCAGUGGCGAAGGCGGCUCACUGGCCCGGUACUGACGCUGAGGUGCGAAAGCGUGGGGAGCAAACAGG
rnacentral:rRNA from 1 species